CCAGGAUCUCCUGCUCCAUGCGGCGCCGGCUCUUGCGGGGACUCGGCUCGCGCUCGGAGCUCUCAGACCCGCACAGACGUUCAUCAUGACCCGGCGAGGAAGGGGGUGACGUCAUGGAGCAGCAGAAGGUGAUGCUUCUUCUUCUUCUUCUUGGGAUGUUGCGGGGCUGCGUCACACGCGCCGCUUUCAUCCUGGUAUGGGGGUCCCGUGCAUCACGCGUAGAGUGACCGCGCAGCUCCUGGUUUGGCUCCGUAUUUUCGUCAGGAUGUGGUCACAGGUGCACCAAGGAGGAGGAGGAGGAGGAGAUGCUCCGCGCAGCAUCAGGACCUCUGGAGUCUGGAGCUGCGCGGCUCCCUCUGAGGCUGGGAUCACGUGAGGACUGACCGGCUCGUGGAUCUCUGGUGUUUUCCCCCUCUAGAGCCCCAGCUCCGCCCCCCACCAGCACGCGGGACGCGCACCCCCACGUCCAUCAAAUGCUGGCAGCCCGUGGAGAAGAGCAGAACCUCAGAAGGAUGGAGUUUGCUGGAGUUACGCAGACCAACAGCCGGGAGUCUGAGCGCGUGCGUGAUGUCGCCUUUGUAAAAACAAGUUAAAAGAGAGCGAGGGCAGCUCCCGCCCGCGCGGACGGACGGAUGGAGGGCUCCUGCGGGAGCUGCGUGAAGGAAGGGCCCAGAAAGGUUUCUGCUUGGAUCGGAUCGAGUCAUGAUGUCAUCCGGACUAUCGGAACUGCUGAGUCCAGAUUCUGAAGGGACCUGAAGUGGAUCCAUGAGCUUCGUCCGUGUUGCUGCUGUUUGGAGAGAGCAGUGAGGUUCUGUCAGGGGUUGCAGGAAAAGGAAGAAGAGGAGGCAGCAGAGGAGGAACAACGAGAGGCAGAGUGGGUGGUGAAAUGCAUGGAGAGAAGGACUGAAGCCGUUGGAGGAGGUGGCUGAAGUGAACCCAGAGCAGGUGAACGCAGCUGUGGAUCGCCAUGGGCUCUCUGGCUGCUAUCCUCUCAUGGCCCCAGUGUUGCAUCCAGGGGUCCCAUGGAGCUUGCAGGGGCCAGCCAAGGCAGCAGCAGAGUGGGCAGAGUGGGCCAGCCGAGCCAGAAGAGAGGCAGGUGAGGCGGGUGAGCUCUGUUCUCGUUCCCGCUGGCUAGGAGCCUCCUCGGCAGAACGGAGCAGCAGAAAUCAAUACAGAGGAGAGAGGCUAGCAGAGGUUGCCCAGCACCGCCUGCGGGCCUCAGAGCCCAGGGACCAACCACCACCACUCCCAUCUCCUCUCUCCAUCUCUCCUCUUUUCAACAGCAGUCCCACCGCCAGCCUGGGUUAAGGCGCUAACCUUGUAACUGCUCCACAUGCAGUGUGUGUGUCAGAACAUUCAUUUUGUGUGUGAAAAACAGAGAAAUCAAGAGAGAAGAUAAAGAAGCGAUGUGUGGUUCUGCUGGAGGGGGUUUUCUCUCUGGCGCCCAACAUCACUUGAUAAAACUUUGUCAAAGAGACACAGGGACAGCCAACAAUAGAAGCAGCACCAGAAGAAGACACGACGAAGGACUCCUUUGCUUCUUCUUCACUCCUCCAUCACUCCUGGAAUUCAGUGGACUUUUCAGCUCAGUCCCAUUUCCAAGCAGUAUUCCUCAGAUCUCUUGAGCCAGGAUGAAAGACUAGCUGAACUUUUUCUCUCAUCUACAGUAACAGCCACAACCUGUCUUUUGCCUUAGAUUUUCUUGCCUUCACAAGAGCAGCUCUCAUCAGAGGUUUGGCAGAGCCGUAUCGAUCUGAAAGGUGGAAAAGAGAGAGUUUGAGCGGGGCUUUCAUACUUCUGGAGAAAUGGCAUCUGAAGUCCACUUCCUGCUCUGCAGCAGAGAUGCCAGGACACUGGACUCUGUUUUCACCCCUCAAACAUCCAAAAGGAUCAUUCUGAACUGAGAGUCAGCUUUCAAUAGACACUCAAUAGAACUACAGAAAAUAAUGAGGAAGUGAAAGGGCUGAUUUUGGAUCAGUGAACACAUGAACAUCUUCAGUACAGAGAAAGCAAGUCAAAUCACAGCUAAAAGCUCGGCUUUGGAGCUUUUUAUUCACACGUUGAGCGCUGGAUGUACCAAAAAGGAUGAAUUAAGAGUGGCUACUUCCAGAGAUAAAUUCACCUCUUUAUGCAGUCUAUGAAACGCCACCGGGAUGAUGAAAAGCAGUGGUUCCACUGAGCCUUGAAAAGAAAGCAAACUGCCCGUAGCCCAUUCUUCUGAAUGUAAUAAGUUCUGGCUUCACAUGGAAAAUGCCACGUCCACGUCUUUACCAUCCACCCAUGAGAGGGCCCGAGUGAGCCAAACGGCAUUUCAACAAAGGUAAGCUUGGAGGUAUAAGAAAUUUAUUCAUAGAAACCAUUUUUAAAAUAUUAUCAAUAUGAAAUUGUACAAAACUGAUCUUCUAGGGCUGGGUAUCGAUAUUUAUUUCCAGAAACGAUUCAAUUCGAUUUUUUUUUUUAUUCUUCAAUUCAAUUUGGACUUGGAGUUGGAUAUUGUUGAUAUCAUCCAGUGUUACAUGGAUUCUCUAAAGGAGAAGUUCUAACUAAAAUGUUCAGAUCAUUAACAUUGGAAACAUUGUUCUGCUUCUCCUGGAGGACGUUUCAGUCUGACCACUAGGUGGAGAUCACGCUAUAGCAUUACACCUUAUUCCAGAAGAAGGAUGUUUUAGACCAAAAAUAGUUACUUUCAAACAAAUAUGUCCUUAAUAGAGUUUGGCAAAUUCAUGUCUGUGAGUUUAUAAAGAUGUUCAUUUAGUCAGAAUGUAUGUUUGGGUCGACUGAGCGUUAGCAUUAGCCACCCUAUGGGAAAUUCCAUUAAACCUUAGCAUCACGCUAGCAGACUUAAGCUUUAUGUGCUAAAUUGAUUUAUAUUUUUAUGAAUCGAUUAUUGAUCUAUUAAGCUUAAAUCGAUUCAAAUUGAUUAAUCGAUUUUAUCAACCCAGCCCUACGAUCUUCCCUUUUUCUGUCAUUUAAAAUCAAGUCUUUAAAAAAAAAAGUAGUUUCCUUUAAAAGAUUCAAUCAUUUUCAAUGUGUAAAUGAAAAUUUAUUGAAAAACAUGUAUGGACCAGUUCAGGUGUUCUGAAUAAAGUUCAUAACAAUGUGACAUGAAAAACUCUCUCAGUUGUUGUGUUUU